rnacentral:rRNA from 1 species
UACAGAGGGGGCAAGCGUUGUUCGGAAUUACUGGGCGUAAAGGGCGCGUAGGCGGCCUGUUAAGUCGAACGUGAAAUCCCCGGGCUCAACCCGGGAACUGCGUCCGAUACUGGCAGGCUUGAAUCCGGGAGAGGGAUGCGGAAUUCCAGGUGUAGCGGUGAAAUGCGUAGAUAUCUGGAGGAACACCGGUGGCGAAGGCGGCAUCCUGGACCGGCAUUGACGCGCUGAGGCGCGAAAGCCAGGGGAGCAAAACGGGG